UACAGAGGGUGCAAGCGUUGUUCGGAAUUAUUGGGCGUAAAGCGCGUGUAGGCGGCUUAGCAAGUCGGGUGUGAAAGCCCUCAGCUCAACUGAGGAAGUGCGCCCGAAACUGCUGAGCUUGAGUACCGGAGAGGAUGGCGGAAUUCCCCAAGUAGAGGUGAAAUUCGUAGAUAUGGGGAGGAACACCGGUGGCGAAGGCGGCCAUCUGGACGGUCACUGACGCUGAGACGCGAAAGUGUGGGGAGCGAACAGG
rnacentral:rRNA from 1 species